rnacentral:rRNA from 1 species
UGGCUCAGAACGAACGCUGGCGGCAUGCUUUACACAUGCAAGUCGAACGGUAACAGGCCUUCGGGCGCUGACGAGUGGCGAACGGGUGAGUAAUGCAUCGGAACGUGCCCAGUCGUGGGGGAUAACGCAGCGAAAGCUGUGCUAAUACCGCAUACGAUCUGCGGAUGAAAGCGGGGGACCUUCGGGCCUCGCGCGAUUGGAGCGGCCGAUGUCAGAUUAGGUAGUUGGUGGGGUAAAGGCCUACCAGGAAAACGAUCUGUAGCUGGUCUGAGAGGACGACCAGCCACACU